ensembl:lncRNA
UAAUGGUCCCCUCACUGUGUUGUGGGCUCUAAAGGUCUCCUCACUGUGUUGUGGGCUCUAAAGGUCUCCUCACUGCGUUGUGGACCCUAAAGGUCUCCUCACUGCGUUGUGGGCUCUAAAGGUCUCCUCACUGCGUUGUGGGCUCUAAAGGUCUCCUCACUGCGUUGUGGGCUCUAAAGGUCUCCUCAUUGCGUUGUGGGCUCUAAAGGUCUCCUCACUGCGUUGUGGGCUCUAAACGCAGUCUCCUCACUGCGUUGUGGGCUCUAAAGGUCUCCUCACUGCCUGCAUGGUGAACUCUAGUUCACCAUCAAAAUCUACAAAAAUGGAGCUAGGUAAAUAUUACACAACGGUAAACAUGUUUUUUUUUUUUUUUUAAUCGUAAAUGUAUGAAAACAAAGGAGAAAAUAUACAGAGAAACCCACAACAAACCAUGAAAAC